rnacentral:rRNA from 1 species
CUUAACACAUGCAAGUCGAACGGUAACAGGAAGCAGCUUGCUGCUUCGCUGACGAGUGGCGGACGGGUGAGUAAUGUCUGGGAAACUGCCUGAUGGAGGGGGAUAACUACUGGAAACGGUAGCUAAUACCGCAUAACGUCGCAAGACCAAAGAGGGGGACCUUCGGGCCUCUUGCCAUCAGAUGUGCCCAGAUGGGAUUAGCUAGUAGGUGGGGUAACGGCUCACCUAGGCGACGAUCCCUAGCUGGUCUGAGAGGAUGACCAGCCACACUGGAACUGAGACACGGUCCAGACUCCUACGGGAGGCAGCAGUGGGGAAUAUUGCACAAUGGGCGCAAGCCUGAUGCAGCCAUGCCGCGUGUAUGAAGAAGGCCUUCGGGUUGUAAAGUACUUUCAGCGGGGAGGAAGGCGAUGCGGUUAAUAACCGCGUCGAUUGACGUUACCCGCAGAAGAAGCACCGGCUAACUCCGUGCCAGCAGCCGCGGUAAUACGGAGGGUGCAAGCGUUAAUCGGAAUUACUGGGCGUAAAGCGCACGCAGGCGGUCUGUCAAGUCGGAUGUGAAAUCCCCGGGCUCAACCUGGGAACUGCAUCCGAAACUGGCAGGCUUGGAGUCUCGUAGAGGGGGGUAGAAUUCCAG